AUUGAACGCUGGCGGCAGGCCUAACACAUGCAAGUCGAACGAGUGGCGGACGGGUGAGUAAUGUCUGGGAAACUGCCCGAUGGAGGGGGAUAACUACUGGAAACGGUAGCUAAUACCGCAUACCAUCGGAUGUGCCCAGAUGGGAUUAGCUAGUAGGUGGGGUAACGGCUACCGCAGGUGACGAUCCCUAGCUGGUCUGAGAGGACGACCAGCCACACUGGAACUGGGACUGGGACCAGGCUCUUACGCGAGGCAGCAGUGGGGAAUAUUGCGAAAUGGGCGCAGCCCUGAUGCAGCCAUGCCGCGUGUAGGAAGAGGGCCGUGGGGUUGUGAAGUACUUUCAGCGGGGGGGCGUUUCCCGCAGAAGAAGCACCGGCUAACUCCGUGCCAGCAGCCGCGGUAAUUC
rnacentral:rRNA from 1 species